ACAAACGGAAACGCCGAACUAGAAGCUAGGCUCCGAGUAGCAAGCUUCAAAUGGAGAAAAAUAAGAGAGACUGAACAUAGGUCAGUGACAUUUUAAGAUACGUAACGCAGCGGGACUUGAAGAAUGUUUCACCCUGUGUAGCUUCGCCAAACUGAGGUCCUGGGCGAGGCGGCAGCUGCACGCGAUAGCUCUCCAGGUAACCAGGGCAACCGCUGGUAACUCCAGUGGCAACGAUAAAGCCUUCCGGUGUAGUCCACCGGAAGGCCGAAUGUCUUCCGGUGGACUACACCGGAAGACACUCGUCCGUAGAAACCAGCUAGCGCUCCAUGCUACAAGGUCCUCUGACAAGGCGGGAUACAGCCAGCUGCUCUGCUCCAUGCGGUUUUUGAGGCGUCACUCCAGGUUAUAGACAUUUCACCGCGGCUAAUGAGUUAUGAGGCAUGGUGCUAAAGCUGAAACUGCUGCUGUGCAAGGGUGUUGCUAAGUAGCCAAAAAUUGUCCACAUUUCCAAGUACAUGUGACUUGUGCGAACUGCAAGCAUUGUAGAAGUGUCCACAUGUCCAGGAGAGGGCGCAAUAAUGCGAGUGUGAUCAGUGUUUAAGGAAGUACUUGUGGACGCUAAUGGAUGCAGAAUCGAGACUUUCAUCGUGUAUCACUGACAUUCAGGUCGGAUGUCGUACAAAGG